GUGACUGUAGGUUUCAGGGAGGCCUUGCUGAGGCAAUGCAGGUAUCCUGGCUUGCUCUCCUCCAGCUGGCUGUCCUUGGGCAUCUCCACCCACUUGGGUACCGUAGCCACGGUGAUGCUCAGCUCCUGUUUCUUCUCCCCAGCCUUGUUGGCAGCAUGGCAUGUAUAGAUCCCCGCAUCUGCCUCGGUGAUGCUAGUGAAAACGAGCUGCUCUGCCUCUUGGUACACCCUGCCAGCAGUGGGGACCCGCUCCUGGUUUCUCUCCCACCAGACCUGGGGCGUGGGUACACCCCGCGGGGCAGCACAGGACACACGGUGUCCCUGGUUCGCUGUCAACACCUUCGGGGAGAAGGGUGCCA
rnacentral:lncRNA from 1 species